rnacentral:rRNA from 1 species
UACGUAGGUGGCAAGCGUUGUCCGGAUUUACUGGGCGUAAAGGGCGUGCAGGCGGUUUGUUAAGUGCAGGGUGAAAGCUCCCGGCUCAACUGGGAGAGGUCCUUGCAUACUGGCGAACUCGAGGGAGGCAGAGGAAAGUGGAAUUCCCGGUGUAGUGGUGAUAUGCGUAGAUAUCGGGAGGAACACCUGUGGCGAAGGCGGCUUCUGGGCCUUACCUGACGCUGAGACGCGAAAGCGUGGGGGAGCGAACCGG